CUUGCAGUGAACCAGAAUCCAAAACCCAGGAGAAAGGCCUGGAACAGAUCCUUCUGUAGCACCUUAUAGGGCAGCGUGACCUGCUGACACCCUGAUCUCAAACUUCUAGCCUCUAUUACUAUAAGGCAGUACAUUUCUGUUGUUUAAUCCACUCAAUAUGUAGCACUUGCUACUGCAGCCCUAGCAAAAGAAUACAAUGACAACUACAUCUCUUGCAAUGGAUGGGAGCUGUGGGCAGAUGUUGAAGUGCUUCAGCUUGCUUGUAUAGCUUACUUCAUUCACUGUUAAAAUAAAGACAGCAUUACCUUAGUACUGGGAAGCAUCAUUCUCCAAAGUUAUCUCCCCUGAGAAUAAUCUCCCUGGGGAGGCCACCCCACUCCGUAUGGAAUGCACUUCUGAAAGCCUGCGUAGUCUAACAAGGAGUUCACCCAACUUUCCAUGAGCUCCUUCCCAGAGCCAGGGUGUCAACACUCCCUCACUGUAGGUCCUGCAGGUACCACUUCCCUGCAGGUCAGGCAGCUGGAGCACCAGGCCCAGUGA
rnacentral:lncRNA from 1 species